UAGAAUAAAGCAGGCAGAAGAAGGUAGAAAGAGCAGACUUGCUGAGUCUUCCAGCCUUCAUCUUCCACUCAUGCUGGAUGUUUCCUGCCCUCGAACAUCAGUCUCCAAUUUCUUCAGUUUUGGACUCUUGGACUUACACCAGUGAUUUGCCAGGGGCUAUCGAACCUUUAGCCACAGAAUGAAGGCAUUGUCGGCUUCCCUACUUUUGAGGUUUGGGGACUCAGUCUGGCUUCCUUGCUCCUCAGCUUGCAGAUGGCCUAUUGUGGGACUUCACUUGUGAUCAUAUGCAGGAAAUAGAGAAUUCUUCUCAACAGGAAAAGCUGCCUUUUGGAAGCAAGAUUUCCUCUGUCUGACCAGAAGAAUAGCCCCGCAAGAUAUCCAGGUACCUCGAAGGAGUCAAGUUGGGAUCAGGAGCGGGCAUCCCCUUGUCCUGACUCUUCACUGCCCUCCGCCCUCUGUCCAUAGAAAACUGUAAGAUUCCAGACACCAACUGGACCUUUGUUACUAGUAGAGGGGUCUCUCUGUCUCUCUCCUCCAUCUAUCUCUCUCUGUCUCUGUCUCUUCCCCCACCCCCCCAUGCACAUACAAAAUCUUAAGGCCAUCUUGUUCAAUCUCUUUUCUUCUUUCUAAAAAGAGCCUUCAGACACAGCAUCUGGUUGAAGUAAAAUUCAGUCUUUCGGGGAGAAGGAAGUAAGCCCUUUAUUGGAUCUGCACAUUGCAAGUUAAGGGUACCCUACUAAAAACAAAGUGAAAGUUUAUUACCAUCCUGUAGAACUUCAGGAGGAGGAAAAAUAACUGAGCCAUGGGAGGAUCUGAAAUUUUAUAAUUUUGACUGCUUGUUACUCUCUCUAGUGGAGUAUGGAUUUGGGCAGUAGACAGUUCUGGGGUCAAAUCCUUGCCCUGACACCUGGUAGCUAUGCCCUUGGGCAAGGUAACCUCUCUGAGCCUCAAUUUUUUCAUCUCUAACAUGGUAAUAACACCCACUACACAGAGUGGCUGUGAGUUAUAAUGAAAUCGUAUAUGCUAUUGCUUCGGCAAGGGUAAAAUGCAUACAACUGUCGGAGAGAGGUUGUAGCAUUCUUGAGAAUUUACAUCCCAAAUCUUUGUGUGCUAUGGUUUAUUAUUCAAGCCUCAAACAUUACUCUGCAAACAAUUCAGGCUUACAUUGGUUACAAUCCCACUAUGACUGUAUACAGUGCCUAUUUGGGUAUAAUUUUCUAUUGAAAGCCACAGGAAAGUUAACUGUGUUAAGUUUUAGCAUAAGCUGAGAUUCUCAUUCCUGAUUUUCUUCCCUAAUAAGCUUUUAUAUGUCAGAAGCUGUAUGUGCUGGGGUUUUACAUGCAUGAUCUUUACAUCAAGUGUAAAUAUUUUUUAAAAAGAUAGAACUCUAAACUCCAAGUAUGUUAUAUGCUUUGCCACCAUUUUCCAUCCUUUAUCAAGCAAUCAAACUGGAUUGAGAGAGGUACCUAAGUCCAAAGUCAAAGGGCAUAUCCCCUUCUCUUCUCACUUCUUUCCUGGGAGACAGCCCUACACACUAGGAGAGCCACCAUGAAAUUCUACACUCCCAGCAAAUAUAAUCAGAAUGUAACAGAAGUCAAGAUGAGUAAUAAGGCCAUUGAAGACAGCUUUAUUAAAUACUGCACAAGGCACUGAGAGGG
rnacentral:lncRNA from 1 species